ensembl:lncRNA
GAAUUGUGAUUGUAGAUGCUAUUGUUAUUAUUAACGUGAGCUGUCCUGCCUCUUCUCCUGAGGGCCCUGUGCCCCACUUUCCACAUUAAUGGGGCUUCUGUAAGUUUCUCAACAGUGGGGCACAUGCCCAGAGUUCUCCCCCAAAGGGCUCCCUGCAAUGCGGGGUGAAGAUGCCCAAGCACUUCUUGUUGUGUUACUUCAUUUUACCAACAGCCAACAUUAGGCCCUGAAUGAGCGCUGCGUCCCCAUGCCAGCACUGUAUAAGAAUUAGGCAGUAUAUAAGCACUCGCUCCUCACAGCAGGGAAGGGCUUGCUAGUCUCUCACUGGGAGAAACCGAAACUCAGAGAGGACUGAUAGCUCAUCCAAGAUGGCCCAGCUCAUGGAGAAAAGGGCCAGGACCUGCACUCCAGCCCUCUGCCCAGGGUCCAGCUGCCAUCCACUGCACUGUACACCCUCCGACUAGAAGCACAUUUGUACUGCGCUGGGGAGUGGGGGGUGGGCUGCGGAGGAGAGAAACAAUUAUAAAUUCAGGUCCAGAGGCUGGACUCAGCUGUCCUCUGGGAGACAGGAAAAGACCCCAGGUCUUGCCUUCACCGAGCUCACUCGGCUGUGUGGGAGAGAAGCAGAGGACCAGGUGACAGCUGGGACUGAGGAAGCCCCAGGGUAGGCAGGCAGGACACAGAGAAGCUGCCUGGCAAAGGCAGGGCCCUGGAAUAUCAACCAUUAAAUCCAAACUCCCAUUCGGUGUUUUGAGUUUCUCAUUUCCUAUAUGAGUGCUGCCGGUCCGCCUCCCUCUGGGAGCCCUCCCAGGCUUCCUCCCACAGCCCUCCCGGGUGCUGACCUGCCUCCUUGCCCCUCUCCCCACAGGAGCCCCAGUCUCCACACUCCUGUGCUGUCUCUUCACCAGGCCCUGGCCCUUGCCUCCCAAUUGACGGUAUAGCCCAGAGCUAGUGUCCACUGACAGAGAGGCUGCAUGGCCUCCAGGAGGCACAGCCCCAGAGCCCAGCCAUGGGCUGGGGAGCCUGUGGGCUUGUGAAUCAGGACACUGGAGGGGAGCAGGUCUAGGGGCAG